rnacentral:rRNA from 1 species
CCCGCACAAGCGGUGGAGCAUGUGGUUUAAUUCGAUGCAACGCGAAGAACCUUACCUGGGCUUGACAUCCCGGGAAUCCCCUGGAAACAGGGGAGUGCCCUUCGGGGAACCCGGUGACAGGUGCUGCAUGGCUGUCGUCAGCUCGUGUCGUGAGAUGUUGGGUUAAGUCCCGCAACGAGCGCAACCCUUGUCUUUAAUUGCCAUCAUUUAGUUGGGCACUUUAAAGAGACUGCCGGUGUUAAGCCGGAGGAAGUGGGGAUGACGUCAAGUCAUCAUGCCCCUUAUGACCUGGGCUACACACGUGCUACAAUGGGUGGUACAACGAGUUGCGAGUCGGUGACGGCGAGCUAAUCUCUUAAAGCCAAUCUCAGUUCGGAUUGUAGGCUGCAACUCGCCUACAUGAAGUCGGAAUCGCUAGUAAUCGCGGAUCAGCACGCCGCGGUGAAUACGUUCCCGGGCCUU